CCUACGGGAGGCAGCAGUGGGGGAUAUUGCACAAUGGGGGGAACCCUGAUGCAGCGACGCCGCGUGGGUGAAGGAGCGUUUCGGCGCGUAAAGCCCUAUCGGCAGGGAAGAAGAUGACGGUAACUGAACAAGAAGCCCCAGCUAACGACGUGCCAGCAGCCGCGGCAAGACGGAGGGGGCAAGCGUUAUCCGGAUUUACUGGGGGUAAAGGGGGCGCAGACGGCGAUGCAAGCCAGGAGUGAAAGCCCGGGGUCCAACCCCGGGACUGCUCAUGAUACUGCAUGGCGGGAGUACAGGAGGGGGAGGCGGAAUUCCUGGUGUAGCAGUGAAAUGCGUAGAUAUUGGGAGGAACACCGGUGGCGAAGGCGGGCUGCUGGACUGUGACUGACGUUGAGGCACGAAGGCGAGGGGAGCAAACGGGAUUAGAUACCCUGGUAGUC
rnacentral:rRNA from 1 species